rnacentral:rRNA from 1 species
CGAGAGCGACCGGUGCUUGCACUGGUCAAUCUAGUGGCGAACGGGUGAGUAACACGUGGGUAACCUGCCCAUCAGAGGGGGAUAACAUUCGGAAACGGAUGCUAAAACCGCAUAGGUCUUCGAACCGCAUGGUUUGAAGAGGAAAAGAGGCGCAAGCUUCUGCUGAUGGAUGGACCCGCGGUGCAUUAGCUAGUUGGUGAGGUAACGGCUCACCAAGGCCGUGAUGCAUAGCCGACCUGAGAGGGUGAUCGGCCACAUUGGGACUGAGACACGGCCCAAACUCCUACGGGAGGCAGCAGUAGGGAAUCUUCCGCAAUGGACGCAAGUCUGACGGAGCAACGCCGCGUGAGUGAAGAAGGUUUUCGGAUCGUAAAACUCUGUUGUUAGAGAAGAACAAGUGCUAGAGUAACUGUUAGCGCCUUGACGGUAUCUAACCAGAAAGCCACGGCUAACUACGUGCCAGCAGCCGCGGUAAUACGUAGGUGGCAAGCGUUGUCCGGAUUUAUUGGGCGUAAAGCGAGCGCAGGCGGUUCCUUAAGUCUGAUGUGAAAGCCCCCGGCUCAACCGGGGAGGGUCAUUGGAAACUGGGGAACUUGAGUGCAGAAGAGGAGAGUGGAAUUCCAUGUGUAGCGGUGAAAUGCGUAGAUAUAUGGAGGAACACCAGUGGCGAAGGCGACUCUCUGGUCUGUAACUGACGCUGAGGCUCGAAAGCGUGGGGUAGCAAACAGGAUUAGAUACCCUGGUAGUCCACGCCGUAAACGAUGAGUGCUAAGU